rnacentral:sRNA from 1 species
UGUAAAUUAGAGAUACAAUCAUGUGCCUC